rnacentral:rRNA from 1 species
GUGGAUUAGAUACCCUGGUAGUCCACGCCCUAAACGAUGGGCACUCAGUGUGGGAGGUAUCGACCCCUUCCGUGCUGCAGCUAACGCAGUAAGUGCCCCGCCUGGGGAGUACGGCCGCAAGGUUGAAACUCAAAGGAAUUGACGGGGGCCCGCACAAGCGGUGGAGCAUGUGGUUCAAUUCGACGCAACGCGAAGAACCUUACCUGGGUUUGACAUGCUGGUAGUAGGGAACCGAAAGGGGACUGAGCCCCGCAAGGGGAAGCCAGCACAGGUGCUGCAUGGUCGUCGACAGCU